AGCUCACUUGGGAAAGCAGAAGACUGAAA
rnacentral:tRNA from 1 species